CAGUCUCUCCUCCUCACAGAAGCCUGGAGCUGGGCAUCCAAGAAGAAGCAGCCUCAUUUGUUUUCUGGUGUCAUCGUAGGUGGCCACCUAUGGCUUUUGGGCUUCUCACCUGGGGCGGGUGGGUUCUGCACCACCCUCCCACCCUCCUUCCUCCGUGUGGACGAUAGAGCCACAUCCAGCACCACGGACAGCUCCCGGGCGAUCCCAUGGGAGUAGAAGAGGUGUGAGCAGGUUGCCCAGCUGGUUAGCGGAAAUGCCAAGAUCCAGGCUCCUGAAUUUCAGCCUGGCCCUUUCUAUCUGUCUGAUACCUCCUUUACGAGUCUCUCUGCCUGGGUUGUGUGGAGCGGACCUGCUGCUGGUUGGGGGAGUUUGCAGGUUGCCCCUAUGCAAAAAAGGACAGGAUGCAUGACUGGCAUGUAAGGUGUUCAGGAAAACCAGGAAAAGCCUUCGUCUCCUCGUCCUCCAGGCAGCACAAGCCAUUGUGGAAUCUCCACCGGGUGUACAGAACGGUGCCUCUGCGUCCUGCCACUCAGGACCUCUCAAGUCCCCGAUGUGAUGGCUCCUCAGCAUGAUCAGGA
rnacentral:sRNA from 1 species